AACAAACACACAACGUCACCAUGCAUUGUUAGCUACACAACGCCGGCGAAUAUCCGCGUUUUUUUUCCCUAAUCCGAAGUCGCAUCUCGAGAGUUAAUACUGUGUUGCUAUUUCGAGAAUUAUCGCGCGUAUUAUCGUUUGCUUUCUCUCAGGGAAAAAUUUUAAUACCCAUUCCGUGAAAAACUGUUUGGCUGAUCGUCGGAGAAAAGGAUUUCAACGCUGAUUGUUCCAAAUCCUGAUUGUUCCAAAAAGUUGGAAGCACUUCUCGGUAAAAUUUGCCGGAAAUAUCGAGCUACAGACAAAUGCUAAGUUCUUGGCGCCUUUUUCCUACGACGUGCGUGAUAAGCGCAAGCUAAGUAGAGCAAGCCUAAUCAGAUCAGACAGAGGAAACAGAAGACACACGACACCAUUGAAGAGAGAUUCAGAAGCUCGUUAAGCCCCCAGGCGGUCGAAAAUAUCAGAGAAGGAUUCGUUUCUCAUGAUUCCAACAUUUUAAAGAACGUUCAAUAACGUAAGCUCUUGUGUUCAAAAGUAACUCUUAAGAAAAGCAUAUAGGUUCUUAAGGGUAGUGUCAUACUUUUCAUUAAUACGUAUUGCAUUUCAUAUAUUUCGGCUGCAUAUUUCAUAAGUCAUUUUAGCCAUCGUUUAUAUAUAUAAAAAAUUUAUCUAGAGAAAAUGUCUGUGUUUCUGUUUACGCAUUACUUUUCAGCAUGUAAUUUUUAAAUUAAAUCUUCAAUUUCAAAUUAAAUCUUUCAAGUCUUGAAACUCUAAAAUAAAUUUUCUAGAAAAGACUUUUCAUGAUCUGCUGUGACAUUAUAAAACUUGAAAUAUAAUUUGUAAAUAUUACGAUAAAUGUGUUAUUUUAAUUAAAAUAAGAAUUUACUUGAAAGUUAUUUUUUAUAAUAACUAAUAUAAAUGAUUGGGCAUUUUAAAGCGAGACAUUGAAGGAAAAUCAUGGUUAAAAACAUUUAAUCUUUUCAUUUUUUUUAACAUCGUGUAAUCGAUGAAUAUAAUAGUCAGUCCAUAGUUACUUGUAAUGUUGCAAAAUGUUCGAUAAUACUGCAAUAUGUUAUUUAUCUUAUAGUUAAAUUCGCGAUGUUCCACACGAGAAUCUAGACGAUCUUACUUCGCAGAAUAGCCGAACUUAAUCCUAUUUUGGGAGAUCUUUGUAACUGUGCAAAGCGCAUAAUGCACCAUAUUAACUUGAGCAACAGUUACAUCUGUUACAAACUGUACAUAUUGGAUUGCUUGAAACUAUCUUACAAAUUUAGCAAAUCUAAUCAUAAGAGCUGCCUUAACAAGUAGGAAAUUGCUAUUUUUUUGUACUUAAUAUUUUCUUAAUGAAUCAGUUACAUUUAGAUCUUCGCGGUAACGAGAUUCUAUACGAGAUCCUGAAUAUAUUCAGCACACGUGACUGAUAGAACUGACAAAAAUGUCAAUGUCAUAUCGUUUGUGUCAAUAAGGCUACAUAUAACAGUCUUACGGAAAGAGUCGAAAUUAAGAUGGCAUCAUAAAUCAUAACUCGUAAUUUAUUGUUGCAUUGUUAUAUUUUUUCGAAUUUUUCGAUGGUAUGUACAACAGCAAACAAUCUUGAAAAAAUCUUUAAAAAAGAAAAUUUAAAUGCAUUAAUUUGUUUAAGUUAACUUCUACGUUAUCCUUUUACCGUAUCUGAUUUCGAAAAAAAAAAAAA
rnacentral:lncRNA from 1 species